CCCUUAGAAGUUCUGGGCUGCACGCGCGCGACACUGAUGCGCUCAAGGAGUUUACGACCUUGCCUGGAAAGGUUGGGUAAUCUUCUUAAAAAACAUCGUGAUGGAGCUAGAUUAUUGCAACUAUUAAUCUUCAACGAGGAAUUCCUAGUAAGCGCGAGUCAUCAGCUCGUGCUGAUUACGUCCCUGCCCUUUGUACACACCGCCCGUCGCUCCUACCGAUUGAGCGAUCCGGUGAAUGUUUUGGACUGGCGUCAGAAGCGGUUCGCUCCUGACACUACGAAAUUUUGUAAACCUUAUCGCUUAGAGGAAGGAAAAGUCGUAACA
rnacentral:rRNA from 1 species